GCACUGCUGAGGAGUCCCGCGAUAGGACGAAACGGCCGUCCGGUGC
rnacentral:hammerhead_ribozyme from 1 species